rnacentral:rRNA from 1 species
GACUCAGUGAAAUUGAACUCGCUGUGAAGAUGCAGUGUACCCGCGGCAAGACGGAAAGACCCCGUGAACCUUUACUAUAGCUUGACACUGAACAUUGAGCCUUGAUGUGUAGGAUAGGUGGGAGGCUUUGAAGUGUGGACGCCAGUCUGCAUGGAGCCGACCUUGAAAUACCACCCUUUAAUGUUUGAUGUUCUAACGUGGACCCGUAAUCCGGGUUGCGGACAGUGUCUGGUGGGUAGUUUGACUGGGGCGGUCUCCUCCUAAAGAGUAACGGAGGAGCACGAAGGUUGGCUAAUCCUGGUCGGACAUCAGGAGGUUAGUGCAAUGGCAUAAGCCAGCUUGACUGCGAGCGUGACGGCGCGAGCAGGUGCGAAAGCAGGUCAUAGUGAUCCGGUGGUUCUGAAUGGAAGGGCCAUCGCUCAACGGAUAAAAGGUACUCCGGGGAUAACAGGCUGAUACCGCCCAAGAGUUCAUAUCGACGGCGGUGUUUGGCACCUCGAUGUCGGCUCAUCACAUCCUGGGGCUGAAGUAGGUCCCAAGGGUAUGGCUGUUCGCCAUUUAAAGUGGUACGCGAGCUGGGUUUAGAACGUCGUGAGACAGUUCGGUCCCUAUCUGCCGUGGGCGCUGGAGAACUGAGGGGGGCUGCUCCUAGUACGAGAGGACCGGAGUGGACGCAUCACUGGUGUUCGGGUUGUCAUGCCAAUGGCACUGCCCGGUAGCUAAAUGCGGAAGAGAUAAGUGCUGAAAGCAUCUAAGCACGAAACUUGCCCCGAGAUGAGUUCUCCCUGAGACUUUAAGUCUCCUGAAGGAACGUUGAAGACGACGACGUUGAUAGGCCGGGUGUGUAAGCGCAGCGAUGCGUUGAGCUAACCGGUACUAAUGAACCGUGAGGCUUAACCUUAC